ACGUGAGCAACCUGCCCCUGACUCUGGGAUAAGCGCUGGAAACGGCGUCUAAUACUGGAUACGAGUAGCGGCCGCAUGGUCAGUUACUGGAAAGAAUUUUGGUUGGGGAUGGGCUCGCGGCCUAUCAGCUUGUUGGUGAGGUAAUGGCUCACCAAGGCGUCGACGGGUAGCCGGCCUGAGAGGGUGACCGGCCACACUGGGACUGAGACACGGCCCAGACUCCUACGGGAGGCAGCAGUGGGGAAUAUUGCACAAUGGGCGGAAGCCUGAUGCAGCAACGCCGCGUGAGGGAUGACGGCCUUCGGGUUGUAAACCUCUUUUAGCAGGGAAGAAGCGAAAGUGACGGUACCUGCAGAAAAAGCGCCGGCUAACUACGUGCCAGCAGCCGCGGUAAUACGUAGGGCGCAAGCGUUAUCCGGAAUUAUUGGGCGUAAAGAGCUCGUAGGCGGUUUGUCGCGUCUGCUGUGAAAUCCCGAGGCUCAACCUCGGGCCUGCAGUGGGUACGGGCAGACUAGAGUGCGGUAGGGGAGAUUGGAAUUCCUGGUGUAGCGGUGGAAUGCGCAGAUAUCAGGAGGAACACCGAUGGCGAAGGCAGAUCUCUGGGCCGUAACUGACGCUGAGGAGCGAAAGGGUGGGGAGCAAACAGGCUUAGAUACCCUGGUAGUCCACCCCGUAAACGUUGGGAACUAGUUGUGGGGUCCAUUCCACGGAUUCCGUGACGCAGCUAACGCAUUAAGUUCCCCGCCUGGGGAGUACGGCCGCAAGGCUAAAACUCAAAGGAAUUGACGGGGACCCGCACAAGCGGCGGAGCAUGCGGAUUAAUUCGAUGCAACGCGAAGAACCUUACCAAGGCUUGACAUAUACGAGAACGGGCCAGAAAUGGUCAACUCUUUGGACACUCGUAAACAGGUGGUGCAUGGUUGUCGUCAGCUCGUGUCGUGAGAUGUUGGGUUAAGUCCCGCAACGAGCGCAACCCUCGUUCUAUGUUGCCAGCACGUAAUGGUGGGACUCAUGGGAUACUGCCGGGGUCAACUCGGAGGAAGGUGGGGAUGACGUCAAAUCAUCAUGCCCCUUAUGUCUUGGGCUUCACGCAUGCUACAAUGGCCGGUACAAAGGGCUGCAAUACCGUGAGGUGGAGCGAAUCCCAAAAAGCCGGUCCCAGUUCGGAUUGAGGUCUGCAACU
rnacentral:rRNA from 1 species